rnacentral:tRNA from 2 species
GCAUUGGUGGUUUAGUGGUAGAAUUCUCGCCUGCCACGCGGGAGACCUGGGUCCGAUUCCCGGCCAAUGCA